CAUGUCCUUUUGAUUAUAAUUUAAGGUCUAAUCUGCCCACUGAUUUUUAAAUGGCCGCAGUAAUUUGACUGUGCUAAGGUAGCAUAAUCAUUAGUUUUUUAAUUGAAAGCUGGAAUGAAUGAUUGGAUGAAAUAAAAUCUGUCUCAAUUUUAAUAAAUUAAAAUUUUAUUUUUAAGUUAAAAAGCUUAAAUUUAAUUAAAAGACGAGAAGACCCUAUAGAGUUUUAUAUAAUUAAAUUAAUUUAAAUUAUUAAUAAUAAAAUUUUAUUAAUUUAAUUAUAUUUUGUUGGGGUGAUAGAAAAAUUUAAUGAACUUUUUUUUAUUUAAAACAUUAAUAAAUGAUUAGAUGAUCCAUUUUUUAUGAUUAUAAGAUUAAAUUACCUUAGGGAUAACAGCGUAAUUUUUUUUAAGAGUUCAAAUCGAAAAAAAAGAUUGCGACCUCGAUGUUGGAUUAAAGUUUAAUUUUGGUGUWGCAGCUAAAAAUUUAAGUCUGUUCGACUUUUAAAACUUUACAUGAUCUGAGU
rnacentral:rRNA from 1 species